GACGAACGCUGGCGGCGUGCUUAACACAUGCAAGUCGAACGGUAAGGCCCUUCGGGGUACACGAGUGGCGAACGGGUGAGUAACACGUGGGUGAUCUGCCCUGCACUUCGGGAUAAGCCUGGGAAACUGGGUCUAAUACCGGAUAGGACCACGGCCUGCAUGGGCGGUGGUGGAAAGCUUUUGCGGUGUGGGAUGGGCCCGCGGCCUAUCAGCUUGUUGGUGGGGUGAUGGCCUACCAAGGCGACGACGGGUAGCCGGCCUGAGAGGGUGACCGGCCACACUGGGACUGAGAUACGGCCCAGACUCCUACGGGAGGCAGCAGUGGGGAAUAUUGCACAAUGGGCGCAAGCCUGAUGCAGCGACGCCGCGUGAGGGAUGACGGCCUUCGGGUUGUAAACCUCUUUCAGCACCGACGAAGCGCAAGUGACGGUAGGUGCAGAAGAAGGACCGGCCAACUACGUGCCAGCAGCAGCCGCGG
rnacentral:rRNA from 1 species